rnacentral:lncRNA from 1 species
AGCGGCUAACCCACACAAGCCGGCUAUCCCCACCAUCGUACUGGCUAACGUACGCUCUUUGGACAAUAAACUGGACUACAUCCGACUACUACGCUCAACUCAGAGGACUGUAAGAGACUGUUGUGUUUUUGUGUUCACGGAAACAUGGCUCAACAACAGCGUUCCGGACUGCGCUAUUCAUCUCGAUCAGCUGACAUGCUAUCGAGCGGACAGAGCUCGCGUCGAGGGAGGUAAGACCCGCGGCGGAGGGCUUUGUGUUUACAUCAAUGAUGCGUGGUGCCGCGAUGCUGUUGUGGUCUGCAAACACUGCUCACCCCUGGUGGAGUUUAUGAUUAUUAAGUGCCGGCCGUUCUAUCUACCGAGGGAAUAUACAGCCAUACUGCUCGUUGCUAUAUACAUCCCUCCCAGCUCCAACAACAGCAACAGGAGCGAGGCACUAAAUGAACUGUACCAGCACAUCAGUGAGCAGCAGACAGCCCACCCUGAUGCUUUUCUCAUCUUGGCUGGGGAUUUCAACCACGCAGACUUAAAGAGUGUGUUCCCAAAAAUACACCAACACAUAGACUUCCCAACACGGGGAAACAACACUCUGGACUUUGUUUACACCACACAGAGAGGAGCAGACAAGGCCCUUCCCCUCCCCCACCUCGGUGCCUCAGACCACAUCACUGUCAUGCUAAUGCCUGCAUACAGACCGCUCGUUAAAGUCACCAAACCAGUUCAUAAACAGAUACAAGUGUGGCCGGAAGGGUCGUCAGAGGCUCUUCAAGACUGUUUUAACACCACUGACUGGAAUAUGUUUAAGCAGCCUGCCACAUACAAUAACACCACAGACCUCCAGGAGUACUCAGAGACUGUCACUGCCUACAUCACCAAGUGCAUUGAUGAUGUAACAGUCACAAAGACCAUCACUGUCCGGGCCAACCAGAAGCCGUGGCUAACAGGGGAGGUCUACGGACUCCUGAAGACGCGGAACGCUGCCUUCAGAGCUGGAGAUGAGGUGGGCCUGAAGACAGCUAGGGCCAACCUAUCCCGCGGCAUCAGAGAGGCUAAGAGACAGUACUCCAGGAGGAUAGCCCAUAAUUUCAGCAACAGCAGAGACACUCGGAGCCUGUGGCAGGGGAUACAGACCAUUACAGACUACAAG